UGUCGCGACAUUCACGUUAUGUUUUUACUGCGAAAUCGCAGGAAACUGUCGUGUCAGGUUGGAUCAGUGAUUCGGAUUUUCAAAUAAGCACCUGAUCGUUUUAAGGUAACCUAUCUCUUUCUACGGCAAUGACUAAUGAAAUGCAGCAGUGAAUUUUCUUGGUAAACAUCAUGGGCGUAGCAAGGUGUCCAACCCAAAAAAGAUGGUACGUGAUCUGUUAAAGAAGCCUUGCUGCAGAUCCAUUUCAGGUUCCGAAUCACCCAGCUCACCCCUGAGGUAGUCAGUGAUCUUAUUAUUGAAUCGGUGGCGCCCUUUGAGAUCUCUCCCGAGCUAGCCAGCGGCCAUAGUGGGGUCUGUGAAGAAGGAAGGUGACAUAAUUGGCGCCCAAUGUGGGGCCACACGUUGGGUACGUUUAGAACAGAUGAGGGGACGCAACAUCGGAAUUUGAGGUAAGCGCCAUAGGAAAGGAUCUGGAAAUAAAAGCAAGUUUGGAUAAAAUCCUUUAAAUUCAACAAGGCGGCCCACUACAAAAGUCGUAAUCAGAAUUUAAACAUAAACUUUUUCAAGGCUUCAUUUCAAUAGAAUGGGUGAUAACUAGCCUCAUGAAAAUAAUAAUUCGGCCAACUUCGAUCAACAUUACUUAUAUGGAUAAAGCAUGAUAUUAGCUCUACUUUCACAAUAGGUAAGUACAGGCCAUGAAUUGAGACAACUUUUCAACUUUGCUUUCAAUGCCGAAAAUAUAUACAAAUUAUUAAAUUUGAUCUAUCGAGACAUCGAGUCGAUGUGUCAGCUAUUGAAUGCAAUUUAUUCCACUUGAAUGACUAUCAAAAUCAGUUUUUAAUGUUGAUGU